AUCCUGCCUGUCUGUACCUGUGAGAAAAUAUUUGGAGUAGUUUAUUUGAAUUGGAGAUUUUGCCUCGUCUGCCUUCUUCUACCCGCACACACCUGUGACAAACUCAAGCUUAGAUUUACCCCCCAGUGUGACUACUAAUGCUUAGAUGAUGAGUAUGGUAGCAAUAUGCCUAAAUUAUGUUGGUGGAGUUGGGGAGGUGGGACGGACCCCAAAACAGCUGAUGCCAGAGCAAGAACUUUGCUUCGCCCAUUUUCAGCGCUGCACUCGUGUUCGGUCAGCAUGAAGGCAUCUGCGUUGCACAGAAGCGCAAGUCUGUGUGUGUUUCCAUGCUGCGCGUCUCUGGAUCCAAGCGCAGAUGAGACAUGACAAGCUCCUUCAUCCUCCCCUCCGCUCUUGCGUUGUGGGGCCAAGCGCUUUGCCUUUCUCAUCUUCAUUCCA